rnacentral:tRNA from 1 species
GAGAGUAUUGCUCAGUGGUAGAGUACAUGCUUAGCACGCAUGAGGUCCUGGGUUCAAUCCCCAGUCCUUCCA